CUGGUGCAACUUGAGGCCAAACAAUUGUAACAAAAUUUAUUUAACCAGUGAAUAAAAACUUUAUCUUUCUAUUAGCUCCAUCGUAUCAACGCUUCUGGCUCUCAUGGAUGGUUUAGAUAGCAGAGGGGAGGUUGUCGUCAUUGGUGCGACCAACCGCCUAGAUUCCAUCGAUCCUGCGUUACGGAGACCUGGACGUUUUGACGGGAGUUCUUCUUCGGCCUCCGAACAAAGAGGCCAGAAAAGAAAUUUUUAAGAUUCAUACCCGUGACUGGAACCCUAAGCCGCUGGACACGUUUAUAGAUGAGCUCGCUACAGAAUGCGUUGGUAAGACUGAAAAUAAAAUGGGUUAGUGAGUGUGACUAAGUUGUAAGGAAAUCUUAGCUUGUACCCAGCAGUACCCGAGCUGUUGUGUUCUGCUGCAGAACCAUCCACUAGGCAGCAGCUGAUGCGCCUUCGCAGCAGUCAAAAUUAGCUGCUUUCAUCUACGUCCUUUUUAUUGUUGUGUUGUCUCAGACCAUUGAAUGGGUUUGGGGCGUCUUCCCCCAGCUGUUUCAUAUGCCCUGGAUAGCAGGCAGGGAGACACACAACAAAACAUCCUUCUGUGCAGUGAAUUCUUGGUUAACCCACUUGUAUUUGGGGUCGCAAAUUUCAUAAAUGUGGCACCUUU